rnacentral:lncRNA from 1 species
GAUAUACCAAGGUAGUGGGAAUUUUAUAAAUUUUUCAGAGAAUGUUCCUUAGAUAACCAAAAAGAAAAAAAAAUCAAACAAAAAAGCUGGAAAGCAACGGUUGCUAGGGAAUUCCGCUUAUUGAUAUUUGCCUAACAACAGUAACAAAUUGCUCAAAAUUUCUUCUGAAAAUGCUCCAAUUUAAAGAAAAGAAUUAUAAAUCUUGCAGAAGAUGCAAUUAUUAGAUAUAUAUUUUUUUACAGACGG